CCCUUAGAUGCUCUGGGCCGCACGCGCGCUACACUGGUCGAUGCAACGAGUUUCUUUCCUUGGCCGACAGGCCUGGGCAAUCUUUGAACAUCGAUCGUGAUCGGGAUAGAUUCUUGUAAUUUUUGAUCUUAAACGAGGAAUUCCUAGUAAACGCAAGUCAUCAGCUUGCAUUGAUUACGUCCCUGCCCUUUGUACACACCGCCCGUCGCUCCUACCGAUUGAAUGGUCCGGUGAAAUCUUCGGAUUGCUGACCAAGAUCCAGCAAUGGAGCUUGGUUGCGAGAAGUUGAUUAAACCUUAUUAUUUAGAGGAAGGAGAAGUCGUAACA
rnacentral:rRNA from 1 species